rnacentral:rRNA from 1 species
GGAUGAACGCUGGCGGCGUGCCUAAUACAUGCAAGUCGAGCGAACAGAUGAGGAGCUUGCUCCUCUGACGUUAGCGGCGGACGGGUGAGUAACACGUGGAUAACCUACCUAUAAGACUGGGAUAACUUCGGGAAACCGGAGCUAAUACCGGAUAAUAUAUUGAACCGCAUGGUUCAAUAGUGGAAGACGGUUUUGCUGUCACUUAUAGAUGGAUCCGCGCCGCAUUAGCUAGUUGGUAAGGUAACGGCUUACCAAGGCAACGAUGCGUAGCCGACCUGAGAGGGUGAUCGGCCACACUGGAACUGAGACACGGUCCAGACUCCUACGGGAGGCAGCAGUAGGGAAUCUUCCGCAAUGGGCGAAAGCCUGACGGAGCAACGCCGCGUGAGUGAUGAAGGUCUUCGGAUCGUAAAACUCUGUUAUUAGGGAAGAACAAAUGUGUAAGUAACUAUGCACGUCUUGACGGUACCUAAUCAGAAAGCCACGGCUAACUACGUG